rnacentral:rRNA from 1 species
CUACGGGUUGCUCCAGUGGGGGAUAUUGCACAAUGGGGGAAACCCUGAUGCAGCAACGCCGCGUGAAGGAAGACGGAUUUCGGUCUGUAAACUUCUAUCAGCUGGGAAGAAAAUGACGGUACCAGACUAAGAAGCCCCGGCUAACUACGUGCCAGCAGCCGCGGUAAUACGUAGGGGGCAAGCGUUAUCCGGAUUUACUGGGUGUAAAGGGUACGUAGGCGGUUAUUUAAGUCAGAUGUGAAAGCCCGGAGCUCAACUCCGGGACUGCAUUUGAAACUGGGUAACUAGAGUACAGGAGAGGAAAGCGGAAUUCCUAGUGUAGCGGUGAAAUGCGUAGAUAUUAGGAAGAACACCAGUGGCGAAGGCGGCUUUCUGGACUGUAACUGACGCUGAGGUACGAAAGCGUGGGGAGCGAACAGGAUUAGAUACCCUCGUAGUC